CAGUCGCCGCGGUAAUACGAAGGGGGCUAGCGUUGUUCGGAAUUACUGGGCGUAAAGCGCACGUAGGCGGAUACUUAAGUUAGGGGUGAAAUCCCAGGGCUCAACCCUGGAACUGCCUUUAAUACUGGGUAUCUAGAGUAUGGUAGAGGUGAGUGGAAUUCCGAGUGUAGAGGUGAAAUUCGUAGAUAUUCGGAGGAACACCAGUGGCGAAGGCGGCUCACUGGACCAUUACUGACGCUGAGGUGCGAAAGCGUGGGGAGCAAACAGGAUUAGAUACCCCCGUAGUCCCUGUCUCUUAUAC
rnacentral:rRNA from 1 species